rnacentral:rRNA from 1 species
UGGGGAAUUUUGGACAAUGGGGGCAACCCUGAUCCAGCAAUGCCGCGUGUGUGAAGAAGGCCUUCGGGUUGUAAAGCACUUUUGUCCGGGAAGAAAUCCCCUGCCCUAAUACGGCGGGGGAUGACGGUACCGGAAGAAUAAGCACCGGCUAACUACGUGUCAGCAGCCGCGGUAAUACGUAGGGUGCGAGCGUUAAUCGGAAUUACUGGGCGUAAAGCGUGCGCAGGCGGUGAUGUAAGACCGAUGUGAAAUCCCCGGGCUCAACCUGGGAACUGCAUUGGUGACUGCAUUGCUCGAGUAUGGCAGAGGGGGUGGAAUUCCACGUGUAGCAGUGAAAUGCGUAGAGAUGUGGAGGAACACCGAUGGCGAAGGCAGCCCCCUGGGCCAAUACUGACGCUCAUGCACGAAAGCGUGGGGAGCAAACAGGAUUAGAUACCCUGGUAGUCCACGCCCUAAACGAUGUCAACUGGUUGUCGGGCCUUCAUUGGCUUGGUAACGUAGCUAACGCGUGAAGUUGACCGCCUGGGGGAGUACG